UACGUAGGGGGCAAGCGUUGUUCGGAAUUACUGGGCGUAAAGGGCGCGUAGGCGGUACAACAAGUCGGAAGUGAAAGCCCGGGGCUCAACCCCGGAAUGUCUUUCGAAACUGUUGAACUAGAGUGCAGAAGAGGCAACUGGAAUUCCCAGUGUAGCGGUGAAAUGCGUAGAUAUUGGGAAGAACACCUGAGGCGAAGGCGGGUUGCUGGGCUGACACUGACGCUGAGGCGCGAAAGCCAGGGGAGCGAACGGG
rnacentral:rRNA from 1 species